UACGUAGGGUCCGAGCGUUGUCCGGAAUCAUUGGGCGUAAAGAGCGUGUAGGCGGUCCGGUAAGUCCGCUGUGAAAGUCGGGGGCUCAACCCUCGAAUGCCGGUGGAUACUGUCGGGCUAGAGUACGGAAGAGGCGAGUGGAAUUCCUGGUGUAGCGGUGAAAUGCGCAGAUAUCAGGAGGAACACCAAUUGCGAAGGCAGCUCGCUGGGACGUUACUGACGCUGAGACGCGAAAGCGUGGGGAGCAAACAGG
rnacentral:rRNA from 1 species